rnacentral:pre_miRNA from 1 species
CUUGGCGAGUUUGGGUUUAGUGCACAGUCCAAUUUCUUCAUCUCUCUGUGACUAGAUCCAUACUCGUCUAUA